rnacentral:tRNA from 1 species
GGAGAAGUACUCAAGAGGCUGAAGAGGACGGUUUGCUAAAUCGUUAGGGCUCGUUAAGGGUCGCAUGGGUUCGAAUCCCAUCUUCUCCGCCA